GCAGGUUAAAAAUUACAAUAAAGAGGAAUAAGAUUUCAAAAUCCAAAUUCAAACGACAAGCAAUGUGUUCAACAUCUCCAAACUUGUUUCUCAUUAAUACGUAUGUUACAAAAUUCAACACCUAGUCAGAAAAUACCUAUUCUAGCUGGGUAUUAAUAGGCUCCAACAAUGUUGGAAUUGAAAUUUUAAAACUGAGCUGCCGCAUCAUAACUGACAGCUCGUUUACGAACCGUCAAGAGGGUAAAAUUUUUUGACUGAACCGUCGCUGCUAUCCAGAAUUGAUCUGCACUGUGCUGACCCUGACGACCUCGGUGAUGCUCCAUCACUAGUCUGACGGUCCGUCGCCUGCCAUAUGAUUUUCCAUGAGUUCUGUUUAGUCAUGUCAGACAAAAUAAUGGUCCAUUGCAGAUCCAACGGUCCGUCGGGUGGACCAUUACCUAAUUCUAAAUUGUCCACCUUUUUUCUUCGUGGUGACGUGUGGUGCAGUGGUCUGUCAGGACACCGACGAUCCGUCGGUCUCCCUAUCACAGGGCCCUUUAGCUUAAUGUUCUGAUAUUCAUGCUUUUGAGUUUGAUUCCUGAAAAAAAGCAUAAAACAUUUUAAAUAUCACUAAUAAUUGCUAAGAAAACAUUCAAUUAUCCUUGUUUUGCGAAGAAAUUUUGACUUUUUGAAGAGUCGCUACUUAAUUUUGAAAAGGAAUUAAGAAACCUUUGUAAAAUACUUAGACGAUUCAAAACAGGAAAAUUGUUUAAGUUAGAGAUUCUGAGUAAGCGGUUCCUAUUAACGUUUUAGGAAGGUGUUAGGCACCUAAAACAUCCACUAACUUGCGGUUAUCCGAUCAUGUUUGAAAACAUUCUUUUGAUUAACUUUGGAAAAUCGGUUUGUUGAAAAAGAAAUUGAAUAAGGAAAAGGUUUUUGUGAAAUCAAUUUUUUAGCGACUUAGUUAGGGAUUUAACUAGGUUCGCAAAGACACAAGCAAACAAGUAAACGAAAGGGAAAGGGGGGAGAUGGGAAAGUAGUGAUUUAGGCUUUUAAGCCCAAACCAUCGACCCUGCCCUAAUUUAGUUGGGUUUUCAAUCCAUUUUUUUCACCUGUCCUAAUUCUAUGUUUUUGAGCCUUUAGCUCAAGUCUCACUUUACCUGUAUUAAGUACAACUUUGGCUUCGAGGUCUAAAUGAAUAAAUAAAUAAAUAAAUAAAUUAAUAAAGACGACAAUAAGUAAAUGGACAAAAUGAUAAAUGAGACUUUUGGGUCUCGUAGUGGCUUCAAAGAUGGAAUUUUGAUUUACUUCUUCUUUUGACUCCUUGUAUUCGUUUGCCACGUGAUUGUCUUUUUAGGGAUUUUGAGAUCGGCUCAUGAGGGAUGGGCGUCAAUGGCGCAAAUUGAUAAUGCACCGACGGGAAAGAGGCCGUUUGGACUCAAAGGCAGAUCCAUGCAAAGAAACAAUGAAUGAAUUAAGCCCAUUCUAAAUUUUCAACCAACACACAAAAGAUAUAAAAUGAUAUAUAAAAUAAUUUAAAGAAACAUACAUCAAUCAGGGAGUUUGAAAUUAAUGAAAAAUAAAUUGGCAUCCAUCCAUAGUGGAUGAUCCAAAUUAUCUAUUUUAAGCACUUUGAGAAAUAGAAUGCACAACUUUGAAAUUCACCAGUAGGCUCCUACAUUAUCACACGUUUAUGAAAAAGAAUAACUUAUUUAUAUAUCCAAGAGAAUGAUACUGAAUCAAAAGAAAAUACAAGAAAGUUUAUCAAUUAGUGCAACACUUGGAGAGACGGGUUUCAGAACUAGAUCUCUUCCCGUUAUUUCGACCUAUAAAUUGAGCACAUCGUCUAUAGUCGAUUCAAAGAGAGUUGUGCCACAUAGUUAGGCAAUUCGCAAAGCAACAAACAAUCAUGCCACAACUGAACUAUAAACUUGGGAUGAAAGUGACGCUAUAUAAAUCUAAACUCCUCUGCGACUCAAGCAAACAUAAGCUCUGCUAGUCACAUUUUAGAAAUAGAACAAAGGCACGAGGUGAAGCAGUCUGGAAAUGACGUAACCAUUUGGACAAGAUAUGUAGUCUUAAUAAAAUGACGAGGGAGCUGGCCCUAAUCGGAUUCCAAAAUUAUUUGAUUAGCUUGAAAACUUAAACAAGUCCCCCCCUCAUUUUUAUCAAAUAUUGUAAAAGAACAAGACUUAGAAUAUUGGAAAUCCGCAGGAUUGAUAUUAUGCAAACUUACAGGCCCCUUUCGACAUCUUGAAUCAAAAGGCACCAUGUAAAUUGCGAGUAAAUCAUACAGACACACAGUAAACAUAGAAAGCUCAAAGGUAAAACGAAUUCUCAAAGUUCUUAAUCUAAAUUCCCAAAAAAAUGAACUUUAUAAUUCUACCACAAGGAGCACAUGGCCAGAACUUUAAGAGGAGGUUUUGCUAAUGAUGCUACCAGCUAACAACGUCAAACUAACAAUGUCAACUACUAACAACGAACAAAACCUCCUCGACCCCCUAAAAAAUGAAACCUUUAGUUAUGGAAAUAGCUUUUAAAUGCAAGCAAUACUCAGUAAUAUCACGCGCAAAUGACAAAAUCGAUGCCAAGUUAGAUAUAACAGCAGUCACCCAUUAAACAACUUAAAACAAACACUACUCCAACUUAACCGAAAUCUAACAUUUACUACACUCAGAGAAACCUAUAGCCCUUAAGGCCUCUACAACAGAAAACCCAGCCUCAUUCAUCGACAAACAGAUAACUUCUUCUAUGAGGAAAGAGAAAUAAGGAAGAAAACGAUAAGUUAAAAGGGGCGAGGGUAUGUUUACCUCCUUCGGGGCAGCAAAAUGGGAACCCGAGCUUUCAGUAGAACCGUUACCAUCGAGAGAUGAUGUUGUAGACUUUGGAAUUUCCAGUUGAUCGACCAGCUUCCAAAGAGAAAAAGUGGACGAGAAGAUUUUCACAAAAAAAAACUUUUAUUUUCAGGAGACAAAAUUUUCGAACCCCAAUUUUGGACUCUAGAAUUCUUUGGCUCCCGAAAGAGAAAGAGAGAACCAAAAAAGGAAUUUCACUCUAAUUUCUUGAAACCAUUUCCCAAACCCUAGAAUUCCCCCCCUCCUUUUAUAGAGAAUAAACUAGGGGUUAUUUAGGGCUUCAAAUGAGAAUAAUUUCGGUAUUCUCCCCAAAGGGGAAUUUAAAAUUUGAACUCCCAAAAGUGUUUUCCGCCAGCCAAUUGAACUAAUUUUGGAAUCUUCUUGAUGAAACCCAAAAUUUUCCAACCAAUGGAAUUGAAGGAAUGAAAUUUUUCUCCCCCAACCAAUGAGAAUCGAGCAACUAUGUACGAUUUUGUACCAUUCAUCCUAAAAUUUUCGGCCUCUAGCCGUUUGAGCGGACACCUAUAUAUUUCUAGAGAAUUCUCGAGCUGUUGAUGCCAUACGCUGGGAUGGGUCAUGGUUAUGGGUAGAUUUCAGAUCGUUGGGGGUUGAUAUCGGGUUGUUUGAUAUUGUUGAUGGGUUUGACGGAUUCGGGUGUGAGACGGGUCACGGAUGGAGCAUGGUUUUUGUACGUUGAAUAGGGUAGAAGCCGACUGUAGCUUGGUUAUAUUGGUUUUAAGGUUAUUUAAGGGAAGAGGAGAUGACAUGGGCCGGGUCAGGAGUUAUUGGGUUGAAGAUUGGACUGGCUGAUAUGUUAUUGGUCUUGAUGAGGGAUUGGAGUUGUAUUUGAUUUUGGGCUAGGGAAGCUGAUAUUUAAAUGGGCUGCUGGGGGGUUGUUUUUGGUUGGUUGAAAUUGUGAAUGUUGCCCUAAUUAAAUUUAAUUGGAUUAAAAUAAUACCACUUAGGAAAAGGUAAUUUGGGGAUUAAGAUUAUAAUUUAGGCAACUUAUUUAAACUCUAACCAAAUUGAAUAUCUCAAUUGACUUAGGCAACUUAUUUAAACUCUAACCAAAUUGAAUAUCUCAUCGGUCAAUUGCAUUACAAUUGAGGCCUAUUUGAUUUCAAUUAGAGUCAAAUUUAAUAAAUUGACUAAAUCAAAUAAAAUUCGAUAUGAAUUAACACCUUGUUUAAUCUCGAGCUUCUUGAUUCGAUAAAAUUGAAUAAAUAUUUAUCCAAAUAAAUUAUUUUUGAGAAUAAAUUAUAUUUAAAUCAAGAUUUUGAUCAUUACAUUUAUUUUCAAAGAUUAUCCUUAAUUAAAAUUUGAUAUUGAUGAAAAUGUUCAUUUAAAUGACGUCGUUUAUACAAUCUCGUAUAUGUAAAUACGAAAAUAUAUAAUUAUAUCUUAAAUAAUAAGUUUAGCCCAAAUGCAUAUUUCAAAAUUCAUUUAUUUGGAAAAAAUAAUUGUUGCGAUUUUAUUUGAAAAUCGAAGAAACUCGAGAUUAAUCGUAGUUGUGGAGGGAAAAAAAUUAGGUGUCAACAAUUGCCCCCUCCCUUUGGGUAGGAUGGAUGCAAGUAACCUUGGGCAAAGGGAGGUUGACGUUCCUAAUUUUUGUCCAAACACAAAUCCGUAUCUAAGAGAGAGUGGUUUUUCGCACGAGUUUCGUGGAGUUAUGGCCGAACAUCGGUAUCAGGUUUCCUAUAUAUCUCAGGUUACAUGAGAAUUCAGGACACUUGUAGUUCAUAAAUCUUAAUUGUAAGCAUGAUUUUCAAGAAAAUUCACCAACUAUCACGAUUUUAAAGUUUUUGGUUAAAAUGAGAAGCUGGGGAAUAAAGGGAUUUCGGGAAAGUUGGAAUGCAGUUGAGUUUUCUACACAGAUCCCAGCCUACAUAUCCCCAAGAUUUCAGGGAAUCAGACUGCUUGCAGUUUGACUCAAUCGGUAGAAAAGAUAGUCUUUUAUUUCAGACUAGCUUUGGCUCGGAAUGAGUGACAAGUUGAUCGAGUUGUGGAAAAGAGGCUUGUAACAUCUUAACCAUGAAUGUGGGAUCCUUCACAUUCAUAGUCAAGAACUUACCUGGACAUAAUUUCCAAAACUCUAAGUAUGUUGCCACCCAAAUUUGAAAGAAAGAGAAGGUUACCCUCGACGUGAGUUUAGAAAUAUUUCAAAGGUGAAGCUGAAACCAGAAUAUCUAAAAAUACCCACAUGCCUUCUAAUAGAGGCAUGGUUAGAUGGUGGUGGUGAUCAUCAUUUAGCUCGCGUCUAGAGAGUUUGACAUCCCUCUCUAGACUAUGUCCCGUUUUGCUGCUGAGAAGAGUUCCACGUUGUGCUGUGUCCUUUUAGAGUCGUAUGAACAUAUGGUUUUGGUUUGAGAUUUUCAUCCUCUCGAAUGCUAUCGACAAUAUCUCAAAUGAAAAUCAUUAGUAAUAAGCAUUAUUCACGAAAGAGGUGUGUAGUAUUUUACCAUAUCUCUACGUGAAGUCAUCUCUUCUUGUGCCUGCUUGGAAAGAAAUAACUUGCAAUAACAGACACAACAACCCUCUUGGUUGUUGCAUAAUUAGCUUAUUUAUUGAGAGAAUAUGUUUUCAAAGUGGGGUGACCUUUUUGGACGCCGACGAUACUUUAUGCGGAAUGGUCCCGGCAAUCGAUUAGCCCUGUAUUGAUGAGGAAACCCUUUUUGGUUGCCUAUAUCACUUGUUAUAUGUGGAAUAACAACCUCUCCGGUUAUAGCCGAUGAUCGAUUUAUAAAUUUUCUUUAAAUUAUCAACCUUUGGAUAAUCUUG
rnacentral:lncRNA from 1 species